UCGUGCUGGAUGGGGAGGUAGCGGUGCCCUGUAACCUGCAAACCGCUAUAGCAGGAUUAAAGACAUGGUGCGGCAAUUUCCCCGCUUUUGAGAUAAGUUAAGUGAUGUUGAAAUUUCAAAUCGUCGUGAUGGCUCAUUUGUGAACUCCGUCAGGCCCGGGAGGGAGCAGCGGUAAGCAACUUGAUUCAGGCACUGGCGGUAGCUGGAAUGGAGUUAACUGGCUAAUCAAUUUUGCGAAAGGGGUUGUCCAAUCAUGGUGCACGA
rnacentral:SRP_RNA from 1 species